rnacentral:tRNA from 1 species
GCCUGGGUGGCUCAGUUGGUUAAGCAUCUGACUUCAGCUUAGGUCAUGGUCUCAUGGUUCGUGGGUUCAAGCCCUACAUCAGGCU